GGGAUGCCACCGUGGUGCUGGGCCUGCAAGGGAGCCCCCAGGAGACUCUAUUAAGCUCCCAUUUGACAAGUUUUAAAACUGGCCCAACCCAGGCAUGUGCACAGGAUCAGAAGCCCCAUCUCUCUAAAUUACUAGGUUGAAAUGCCACAUCUUAACGACUCAUGCACCGUCCACACUACUGCUGCGGUAUCUGUGUCCCACCAGGGCUGUGUUUGAUUUUUUAAAUGAACUCGAUUUGUUUUAUUGUUUUGUAAUUUGAACAUGUAGAGAUGGAGGUAAAUAGAAAACCGGCAUCUGUGUAUUACACAUAGAAAGUCACCAUAAAAAUAAACACAAUGAAUACUCUUCAGCAAAGGGAAUGAAAAAUCUACAACUACAUACCACUGAACACAAAUGGAAAUCACCAACAGGUUGAGGGAGAGAAGCUGAGCCCAGGUUUGGAGGGGCAUUGGAAAGGAAAUGACUUUCUCACUGUGCAAUGCCAGGCUUUGUUCAAGCAUUUGGGAAAACAAUGAGGAGGCAGCUUAUUCCCAGCUCCAGAAUACAUCAAACAAUAUUACCUUGAAACAAGCAGGCACCUCUGCAAGAGAGUGAAUUCUGGAUCAAGCAACAGUUUCUUUAUGUCACUGUGGAAGAAAUCCGGACAAAAGUGAGACAAAAGUUUUCAAUCAAACAAUAAAGCAUGGGGGUUGAUCAAUAUACUCUUGAAAUGAAAAAUUCCAGUCAAAUAACAUGUUUAGAAUUUACACAAGACAAGGUACUUUACCAUGACCCUGAAAUUAUAAAAGUUGAAGGGGGCUGAGAGUGUUCUCAAGGCUUGGAGAAGCAGCAGCUUUCAGCCACCACAGGGAGCUGCAGCGCUCUCAUUUCUGGUUUAUAGGCUUACAACAGUUUUUGAAAGUAUUAGCUGCCUAACUACUGGAACAAGAAUGCCAUUGUUGAAAAAAUCAUCAAGAACAGUAAAUACUUUAAAGAAGAUGACAUUCGUAAUUUAUUCUGAAACUAUUCCAAAAAUAAAGUAUCUAAGGAAGAA